GAUGAAGAACGUAGCGAACGUGCGAAACGUAAUGUGAAUUGCAGAAUUCAGUGAAUCAUCGAAUCUUUGAACGCAUCUUGCGCUCCUUGGUAUUCCGAGGAGCAUGCCUGUUUGAGUGUCGUGAAUACUCUCAACUUCAACCCUUUUUUCGGAAAGGGAGGAAGGUUGGACUUGGGUGUUUGUUGAAGUGCGAGCUUCGACUCAUCCUAAAUGCAUUAGCGAUCUGCCUCGAUCACACACAAUGUGAUAAUUAAAACUAAAGCAUUGUUUAAUGAUCAAGUCGAGACUGCUUCUAACUGUCGCAAGACAAUAACGUGCAUACAUUUGUGCAUGUCAUUUGACCGCAAAGCAGGUAGGACAACCCGCUGAACUUAAGCAUAUCAAUAAGCGGAGGA
rnacentral:misc_RNA from 1 species